CCCCUCUCAGGAUUGCACCUGGAGAGUUUCCAGGACUCUACCAGUCUUGGCUAUGGGAGGGGAAGUCAAGCAGAGGCAUACGUAUUCCGUUUCUAGCUUGAGUAGCGGCUAGCGAGUGAAAGGCAAUCUGCUACAAGU